rnacentral:rRNA from 1 species
GGGGGAUAUUGCACAAUGGGCGCAAGCCUGAUGCAGCGACGCCGCGUGAGGGAUGACGGCUUUCGGGUUGUAAACCUCUUUUACUAUCGAACAAGGCACAGUCUUUUGUUGUGUUGAGGGUAGGUGGUGAAUAAGCGCCGGCUAACUACGUGCCAGCAGCCGCGGUAAUACGUAGGGCGCGAGCGUUGUCCGGAAUUAUUGGGCGUAAAGAGCUCGUAGGCGGCUUGUCGCGUCUGCUGUGAAAUCCUGGGGCUUAACUCUGGGCGUGCAGUGGGUACGGGCAGGCUAGAGUGCGGUAGGGGUGAUUGGAAUUCCUGGUGUAGCGGUGGAAUGCGCAGAUAUCAGGAGGAACACCGAUGGCGAAGGCAGGUCACUGGGCCGUUACUGACGCUGAGGAGCGAAAGCAUGGGGAGCGAAC